CCUACGGGUGGCAGCAGUAGGGAAUAUUGCUCAAUGGGGGAAACCCUGAAGCAGCAACGCCGCGUGGAGGAUGAAGGUUUUCGGAUUGUAAACUCCUUUUGUUAGAGAAGAUAAUGACGGUAUCUAACGAAUAAGCACCGGCUAACUCCGUGCCAGCAGCCGCGGUAAUACGGAGGGUGCAAGCGUUACUCGGAAUCACUGGGCGUAAAGAGCGCGUAGGCGGGAUAGCAAGUCAGGUGUGAAAUCCUAUGGCUUAACCAUAGAACUGCAUUUGAAACUGUUAUUCUAGAGUAUGGGAGAGGUAAGUGGAAUUCUUGGUGUAGGGGUAAAAUGCGUAGAGAUCAAGAGGAAUACUCAUUGCGAAGGCGACCUGCUAGAACAUAACUGACGCUGAUGCGCGAAAGCGUGGGGAGCAAACAGGAUUAGAUACCCUAGUAGUC
rnacentral:rRNA from 1 species